CCAAAUGGGAAAAAAGCAACCUUUUUGCUGCCUACCUGCUUAGCUGUAAAAAGGCUCCCGCAUGCAGGUGGC